rnacentral:rRNA from 1 species
AUACGGAGGACGCGAGCGUUAUCCGGAUUCAUUGGGUUUAAAGGGUGCGCAGGCGGCCGUGCAAGUCAGCGGUGAAAGCCCGGGGCUCAACCCCGGAAGUGCCGUUGAUACUGCAUGGCUGGAAUGCGGUCGAGGCGGGCGGAACGGGGGGUGUAGCGGUGAAAUGCGUAGAUAUGCCACAGAACGCCGAUAGCGGAGGCAGCUCGCCAGGCCUGCAUUGACGCUCGGGCACGAAAGCGUGGGGAUCGAACAGGAUUAGAUACCCUGGUAGUCCACGCCGUAAACGAUGGGCGCUCGUCGUCGGCGGCAGACAGUCGGCGGCCAAGCGAAAGCGAUAAGCGCCCCACCUGGGGAGUACGGUCGCAAGGCUUAAACUUAAAGGAAUUGACGGGG